rnacentral:misc_RNA from 1 species
AAACCCAUCCUACCAGUUAGGUAGGGAUAUGUCGAUCGAGCGUGCCCUGUGUAUAUUCAUCGAUUAAAAACAGUAGGUCUAGUCAGGCUGGUGGCCUGGGACAUUGUGUGCUAGAGACGUCGCUUCGGUUGACAGUCUUCUCACAGUGCGUCCCUUGCUGUACAAGCUAGUCUGGCGUGGGCCUCUACAGUCAUCGUAAGAUGACAACCUCCU